AAGUCGUAACAAGGUUUCCGUAGGUGAACCUGCGGAAGGAUCAUUUUUGAUGCUUUAAAUAGACUUGGGGGGUAUACCCCGGGUGUUGACUGAACAUGACUAGUUUUGAACUAGGAUAUUAAACCCGGCAUUGUCUGACUUUUUUUAAUACAAAAAAACUUUCAGCAACGGAUCUCUAGGCUCUU
rnacentral:misc_RNA from 1 species